AUUUCAGGCAUUGUGUCAAGAGGAGUGACUGAAAAGCCCCAACAGAUAAUGAUGAAAAAUGACAUUUCUUUAACUACACCUUUGAGUUUCUGAGGGUUUGAGAAGGAGCUGAAAUGCUGUUUCAGGACGGUUCAUUCUAAUUUGAACAAAGGAAGAUUUCCAGCUUUGACCAUGUCUUCUUAAAUUCAGUUCUCGUAAAGAGUUUGUAUGGACUGAGCACCAAAGCAGAACAGUUCAGCAUUUCAUCCCUCUCUAAGAGUCCAGACAAGCCCACUGAAGCA